rnacentral:rRNA from 3 species
ACGGGUGAGUAAUAUAUCGGAACGUGCCCAGUUGUGGGGGAUAACUGCUCGAAAGAGCAGCUAAUACCGCAUACGACCUGAGGGUGAAAGCGGGGGAUCGCAAGACCUCGCGCAAUUGGAGCGGCCGAUAUCAGAUUAGGUAGUUGGUGGGGUAAAGGCCUACCAAGCCGACGAUCUGUAGCUGGUCUGAGAGGACGACCAGCCACACUGGGACUGAGACACGGCCCAGACUCCUACGGGAGGCAGCAGUGGGGAAUUUUGGACAAUGGGGGCAACCCUGAUCCAGCCAUGCCGCGUGCGGGAAGAAGGCCUUCGGGUUGUAAACCGCUUUUGUCAGGGAAGAAAAGACUCCUACUAAUACUGGGGGUUCAUGACGGUACCUGAAGAAUAAGCACCGGCUAACUACGUGCCAGCAGCCGCGGUAAUACGUAGGGUGCAAGCGUUAAUCGGAAUUACUGGGCGUAAAGCGUGCGCAGGCGGUUAUGCAAGACAGAUGUGAAAUCCCCGGGCUCAACCUGGGAACUGCAUUUGUGACUGCAUGGCUAGAGUACGGUAGAGGGGGAUGGAAUUCCGCGUGUAGCAGUG